rnacentral:lncRNA from 1 species
CCUGGGACUGUGAUCUGUAGGAACGGAGGGAAGCUACGCACCCAAUUCCUUUCCUAUGGGGGGGUUGGGAGGGAGAAUGAAGCCCUACAUUCUCUCGAAGAAAAAUCUUGCAUAUUUGUUAAUAUGCCUUUAAAGUAAAUAUUCUUCUGUAAAAGCUAAUCAGCUGUGGUUUAGUGGAAAUGAGAACAACACAAGGCAGAGGCUGGAGCCACUGGGAGAGAGCCUACACCGCAAAACUCCUCUUGAGUUUUCUAGAGAAUCCUAGAGGCAUUCUCUGUUCAGUCAAUAAACACAAGCAAACGGCUCAGAGUGGAUGGCAAAUAAGUUUCAUUAUAUAUUCAGUGGUUCAGAAAUGAAAGCAUUUAGGGAAAGGAACAAAAUGUCUAAAUCCAGCUGCCUCUCCAAAAGCCUAGAAGAGAAACUAGAAACUGAAUGAUCAGUGGGUAAAUGGAAGCUGUCCAAAUCCCUACUACUAUGAACCAAUAUGGAGAAGCCAGUCAUUUUGGUUUGCUUUGGGGAACGGGGGAGAAGAGGGUUAAGGAAGAGAGAUGACCAUUGAGGGAAACAUGGUGAGCCUGAAUCUCCAUUCAAUUGCUUCUGCAAUGGACUCCAGCUACUGAGGUGAUUGAUUAAAAAAUUUGAAGCUUAAAGGGUUAAAAUCUGGUCCAUUCUGUCUCUAGUAUUCAUUUAUUUUUAUGAUGACUACCUUGGUCCCUUCCCUCCCUGAAGACCAGGGGGUCAGGAAUAUCUAGGGAUGAAGCAGGUCCCAUAUGGUUAAAAAGUCCCUGUUCUCAAGUAGUUUAAAAUUAAACAAGACAAAUAAGUUAAAAGCACACCUAUGUACUACACAGAAGUGACAAAUUACAUGUAAAUGAUUUAAAUUCAGGACAAGAGAAGUGGAACAAAGAGGAAUCAUUUCCUACUGGAAUAAUUAGGGCAAACUUCUUGACAAAGGUAACACAAGAACUUAGCCUUAAAGUCUGGAGAUUUUGCUGGAUGAAAAUUGGAGAGGGAGGACAUUCAAGGCAAAGAGACUAGCAUAAACCAGCGAUGACAAGCCUAUGGCAUGGAAGCCAAAAAUGGCAUGUAGCACUUUCUGUGGGCACAUGGGCCACCCUCCCCCAAAUUCCUCCCCUCCAGUUUGUUAUUAGAAAGGCAGAG